CCAGACUCCUACGGGAGGCAGCAGUGAGGAAUAUUGGUCAAUGGCCGAGAGGCUGAACCAGCCAAGUCGCGUGAGGGAUGACGGCCCUACGGGUUGUAAACCUCUUUUGUCGGGGAGCAAAGAGAGUCACGUGUGACUCAUUGAGAGUACCCGAAGAAAAAGCAUCGGCUAACUCCGUGCCAGCAGCCGCGGUAAUACGUAGGGGGCAAGCGUUAUCCGGAUUUACUGGGUGUAAAGGGAGCGUAGACGGCUGUGCAAGUCUGAAGUGAAAGCCCAGGGCUCAACCCUGGGACUGCUUUGGAAACUGUGGAGCUAGAGUGCUGGAGAGGUAAGUGGAAUUCCUAGUGUAGCGGUGAAAUGCGUAGAUAUUAGGAGGAACACCAGUGGCGAAGGCGGCUUACUGGACAGUAACUGACGUUGAGGCUCGAAAGCGUGGGGAGCAAACAGGAUUAGAUACCCCCGUAACU
rnacentral:rRNA from 1 species